rnacentral:rRNA from 1 species
ACUCCUACGGGAGGCAGCAGUGGGGAAUAUUGCACAAUGGGGGAAACCCUGAUGCAGCCAUGCCGCGUGUGUGAAGAAGGCCUUCGGGUUGUAAAGCACUUUCAGUAGGGAGGAAGGUAUGUAGUACACCUGCAUUAUUGACGUUACCUACAGAAGAAGCACCGGCUAACUCCGGUGCCAGCAGCCGCGGUAAUACGGAGGGUGCGAGCGUUAAUCGGAAUUACUGGGCGUAAAGCGCAUGCAGGCGGCCUGUUAAGUCAGAUGUGAAAGCCCGGGGCUUAACCUCGGAAUUGCAUUUGAAACUGGCAGGCUAGAGUCUUGUAGAGGGGGGUAGAAUUUCAGGUGUAGCGGUGAAAUGCGUAGAGAUCUGAAGGAAUACCAGUGGCGAAGGCGGCCCCCUGGACAAAGACUGACGCUCAGAUGCGAAAGCGUGGGGAGCAAACAGGAUUAGAUACCCUGGUAGGCUCU